AAAAGUAAACGGAAUAGUUGUUGUUUAUGGCAUUGCUGUACUGCGUGUAUUUACAGACCACCUGCUGGAAAAUGUAACAAACAGCAGGGUGAGCACUCCACUGUGCUGCGGUGUGCCACGUCAGGUUACACAGCCAGGUGGUGUGAAGACGUAGGUUUUUGCUGAUCAUGGUUCUCAAGCAGCUAAGUAGAUGUUUAUUACAAAGCCAGACCCACAAGCAUGUGUGCUGAAAAAGCUUCUGUUCUCCUUUGUCAGGCUGCAGAGACAGCGAGUCCCAUUCAGUGAGGAACAAUGAACUGGCUGGAUGAGGUACCUUUCAAGAUCCCUGCUGGAAGAGAAGAAUCAAAGGAGAUGGAGGGGGUCACUCCUCCAGAUCUGAAUAUCACCAUACUGGACUCAACACAAGGCUAAGUUAGUGAUAUCGGACUCCGAGAGCGACGGUGGCUACUCUGACGAUGAUGAGCGCUCCUCAUCCGACGACCGGGAGGAACUGUCCAUCAGGCCAUUUCAGACCCUGUUCCUCUCCGUUCCUGUUAAGCCACCAGUCUCCCACCAACUUACCAAGACAAAGGAGGAACUCCCUGUAUUUAGAGCCGUCCUCGUAUCAUGACUUGGAGGUGUUGGAGAGAGAACGGGUGACCAGUCCUCUGUGCCAGAACCAGAGGAGACCCAGGAGGAGGCUCCUCCCACUGUGUCACUGCGGCCGCAAUUCUUCUCUGGGGUUUCCCACCCCACAGCCUCCAUCAUCCCCGCCAUCAGCACACCUCCAGCCCAGGCCUGCCACUGCUGGUCAUAUUCCUGCAAUCAGGAACCAUAAACCCACACACCCGUCCCUGAGCCCUUAUUCCUGCCUCCCACCCCCUCCCUCUGCCUCUCGACCUCUCAGUUCCCACACAUUUUACCCAGACUCCUCAGCGGACCUGCUACUGGCUCUCAGCCAGGAGGAGCGAGACCUGCUGGAGCCGGUCAUUGGCCUGGGCUAUCCCAUGCAUGCGGCCAUCUGGGCUCUCCAGAAGAUUGGGAAACAGAGCCCCGACCAGGUUUGGAACAUUGUAGUCUUUAUUAAGCACUGAAAGCGCUGUGUAACGGAACACAUGAUGUUGAAUUCACCUUUUUGUAUAUGGUGACAUUAGACUGGGUUUCAGGAGAAGAACCCCUUAUGUCUUUGUUUUAAUGACUCUGGCUACCUGCUGGAAAAUUGACACAGUUGCAUUGGAUUUAGCCCAAGCCACUAAUUGGAACAUGUUCAUCUCUGCUGUCUUCUAAUCUUAGUGAUUAAAGAGCUGUUGCUAGGUCAUGUGAAGGUGGCAUUGCUAGUCAAACAAAUUGCAACUUAAUGGAUUAUUUUCUUCAGCUGUGUGUGUCUUGUUGUCCGCUGGUUUAGGGUUUGCUGCGUUGAUCCCUUGGCUGCUAAGUCACAUCUGACACAGGGUGCUUGUGUGAAAUAUUAAAAAUAGCUAUUCCUUCCAGAAUCUGGGAUUUAUUUUCUGUUCUCAGCUUAACACAGCAGCUCCCCUGAGUCCAAAUGACUCACAGUUUGUUUGGAUUGAUGGGAAUCGUUUUUUGCAGAAGACAAGAACCUCCGGGAAGUGUCUUUGUUAACCUUGUGUGUUUUGAACAGGAAGUCAAGCAAAAGAGGGCACGUUUUGUGCAAUUUGGUAUAGUCCCUGCUACACAGACUGGACAGGAAAUAAGGUGUUGCCUUCAGGAGUUCAGUUACCUCAUCGCCUGUGACCGGCUGUGCAAAUAGGGCUGUGAAGAGGUGCAGGUGGAGAAGGCCCUGGAAAUGUUUCAGUACAAUGAGACAAAGGCUGCCGAGUUCUUGAAUCUGUUGACUCAGUUUCAUGAGAUGGGGUUUCAGCAGAACGAAAUCAAGGAGGUCCUGCUGGUUCAUGAAAACCACAGGGAGCGAGCCAUGGAGGAACUCAUGAUGCGUGUGGAAUAAUUCAAUCAAACUGCAUGCAGCACUACCAGCAAAUGAAACCAUAGCCCCAAAAUGGUUACAUUACCACUACUAUUCAUAUGCUUUAUGUGCUGUUUUUCUCUGUCACCCCUUUUCUUUUAGUUAAAUCGUUUUCUUUUUAAUAGAAGCUUGCACUUCACAAGGGAUUACAAAGUCUUUUUCUUGUAAACUCUCCUUAGAUUUGUAACCCAUAUAUACUUAUUUAUUGAUUGCUGAUUUAUUUAUUAUUCAUUUUGUGUAUCAAAUUAACCUAAGGGUUACUAUAGUGCUAAUUUAGUAUUCCAGUCUUGCUUCAUACUGCUAUAUACUGUAACUUGCCAUUGUAUGCCUCAUCGUGAUUCAUGAUUGUUACUGAUUAUAAAGUGCAGGGGUGGUAAUCAGACUCCUAUUGCAUAGCAGUUUCACCCAUUCCAGGUUUUGACAAUCCGCUUCAGUUUGAUCAUAAUAUGUUAACUUUGAAUUUAAAAAUGUGAAUUUGUUUUUGUAUGAAAUAAAAUGUAUUAUUACUG